rnacentral:pre_miRNA from 1 species
AAUAAACCAAUUUUUCACUUUUUAUCUAUAAUAUUUGGCUUUGCGUCUUAUUAAAAAAAUUUGUGAUUAACACUUUUGUUUUUAUUAGAUAAUAAAUCAUGAAUAGUACUUUAUAUGUGACUAAUUUUUUAAAAUUUUUUGAAUUUUUUUUUAAAUAAGACGGAUGGUCAAACAUGGGAAACGGAAACCGAAAAUUUGGUUUAUU